UAUUAACGUAGUACAAGCUGUUGGUGACCUCUUCCUCUUAACUACAUGGUGGCCCACAUCCCACAGUCCACCCGGGCAACAUCAGCACAUCUGAGGGCUGGGGUGGAAAACACUGACGCGGCAUGGAGGUAUAACUAUCAAGCGGCAUGGUGGACUGGAGUUUUGCAUGAUCUCCCUAUUUGACACCGAUGUCCUCCCUCCAGAAGUUGGGUGUACCACGCCUCCUUCCUGAUGACGGCUGUGAUGAGCUCCAGCAUUCCCGUGACCCUUGUGAGGAUAAGCAACCAAGAAAAUGGCUGGAUGUCAGCAUUGCUGAUAAAUGCGGGUGAAUCCUGCUAGCCAAGUUUGCAAUACUGCAAUAAUGUUUUUGGUCAAAGCUUUAUUAAUAGCCGGGAACUGCAGGUGAAUUUCAGUGGGGGGGGGGGGGGGGGUUCCACAUCCCAACUCCCACUACCAAAAGUGGCAGGUUGAAAUUUGAUUGCGAACAAUUUCUGUCAGUAACCCCACUGCCAAUUGAGGCUUGCGUUUCAAUUGGCGAAUUUUUUUUUGCUUAGCACACAUUCAUUUAUCACAAUACAAAAAUGGAAAGUUGGAUGGAUUUUUCUUAAAGGAACUUUUCCGUUGAAGAGGGAUUUAUUUUUCGACUUCUUUUCUGACAC